rnacentral:rRNA from 2 species
GAACUGAAGAGUUUGAUCCUGGCUCAGAUUGAACGCUGGCGGCAUGCUUUACACAUGCAAGUCGAACGGCAGCGCGGGGCAACCUGGCGGCGAGUGGCGAACGGGUGAGUAAUAUAUCGGAACGUACCCAAGAGUGGGGGAUAACGUAGCGAAAGUUACGCUAAUACCGCAUACGAUCUAAGGAUGAAAGCAGGGGAUCUUCGGACCUUGUGCUCCUGGAGCGGCCGAUAUCUGAUUAGCUAGUUGGUGAGGUAAAGGCUCACCAAGGCCACGAUCAGUAGCUGGUCUGAGAGGACGACCAGCCACACUGGAACUGAGACACGGUCCAGACUCCUACGGGAGGCAGCAGUGGGGAAUUUUGGACAAUGGGCGAAAGCCUGAUCCAGCAAUGCCGCGUGAGUGAAGAAGGCCUUCGGGUUGUAAAGCUCUUUUGUCAGGGAAGAAACGGUGAGGGCUAAUAUCC